rnacentral:rRNA from 1 species
GUCUACGGCCAUACCACCCUGAACGCGCCCGAUCUCGUCUUAUCUCGGAAGCUAAGCAGGGUCAGGCCUGGUUAGUACUUGGAUGGGAGAUAACUGCUGGGAAGCCCACUCCCGUAUCGGAGCGC